rnacentral:rRNA from 2 species
UGAGGAAUAUUGGUCAAUGGGGGGAACCCUGAACCAGCCAUCCCGCGUGCAGGAAGACAGUUCUAUGGAUUGUAAACUGCUUUUCUUGGGGAAGAAUAAUGACGACGUGUCGUCAGAUGACGGUACCCGAGGAAUAAGCAUCGGCUAACUCCGUGCCAGCAGCCGCGGUAAUACGGAGGAUGCAAGCGUUAUCCGGAUUUAUUAGGUUUAAAGGGUGUGUAGGCGGAUGUAUAAGUCAGUGGUGAAAGUCAGCAGCUUAACUGUAGAAUUGCCAUUGAUACUGUAUGUCUUGAGUGUGGUUGAGGUAUGCGGAAUGUGUAAUGUAGCGGUGAAAUGCAUAGAUAUUACACAGAACACCGAUUGCGAAGGCAGCAUGCUAAGCCACAACUGACGCUGAUGCACGAAAGCGUGGGGAUCAAACAGG